rnacentral:rRNA from 1 species
CCAAUAGCGUAUAUUAAAGUUGUUGCAGUUAAAAAGCUCGUAGUUGAACUUCGGGGUUUACCCAUUGGUCAGGCUUAAUUGUCUGUACUGGUGAGAUGAAUCUCUACCUUCUGAGGAACUUUCAUGCCAUUUAUUUGGUGUGAUUGGAAAUCAGGACUGUUACUUUGAAAAAAUUAGAGUGUUUAAAGCAGGCUAACGUCUGAAUACAUUAGCAUGGAAUAAUGAAAUAGGACGGACUGAUUCUAUUUCGUUGGUUUCUAGGAUCACCGUAAUGAUUAAUAGGGAUAGUUGGGGGCAUUAGUAUUCAAUUGUCAGAGGUGAAAUUCUUGGAUUUAUUGAAGACUAACUACUGCGAAAGCAUUUGCCAAGGAUGUUUUCAUUAAUCAAGAACGAAAGUUAGGGGAUCGAAGACGAUCAGAUACCGUCGUAGUCUUAACCAUAAACUAUGCCGACUAGGGAUCGGACGAAGUUAAUUUUAUAAUGACGCGUUCGGCACCUUAC